rnacentral:lncRNA from 1 species
AUGCCCCCACUUUUCAGAUCCGAAGUAAUUUUUUCAUUACAUCAGGCAUGGGAAGUUAGCUUAGAAAUGAUUUCUGACCUCUACCGCCAAGUAUUAAUGUGUCGUACAUUGAUUUUGGUGGUAUUUAUUGUUUUAGUGGUAUGAAGAGACAUGCCAUUUUUGAAAAUGACUCAUCAGAUCCCCUUGCAAUUAUGAGGAUUUGAAAAAUCGAAAGAUCAUCAUUACCUGGGUGGUCAUACUUGAGAUAAGUAAAUAGCUGCAAUUGCCACCA